UAUGCAUAAAUUGAAGUUAAAUGUUUUAAAAGCGUAUUAUCCAGCAGUGUCGCCCUCCAAACUACUCGGAAUGGCAGUUUUUGUGCUUUUCUGACCGCCGUUAAGGCCUUUAACAAGGUCUGUGCCUUACUGUGCUGCCGAGGUGCUGAUCAUGUGAAACCUGUCAAAUUCGCCACCCGCAUAAUCAAAAACUAUUGAUAAAACGAAACGAACGAAAAAGCGAUAAACUGUUAUUCAUUGCUUCGCUGUUGGACUUCCGCCCUCUACACUAACCGUCACCAUCGUCACCGUCAUUUCUGAUUGCCGGUUAGAAUCUUUGAGUGAAGAUUAUAUCAUCGUGAAAAUGCUAAUCGAGCAACUAUUAAGCGACGAAUAUGUUCUUAAGUUUUGCCUUAAAGAGAUCGCAGCAUGCCGCGUAUACUACUAUCCGCUUUCAUUUGGAGUGUCCAAGGUGAUGUCAGCGAGGAAGUCAAAAGUACGUAUAGUGGUGACACGGUGACCUGCCAGGAUUUAGUUACGCUGCACAGUUAUCCAUGAAGCUACCAUGGUGGAUGGUUACAAACGGAGGCGUGAGUGAAAAAGCGCAAAAUCGCAAGCGCCUGAGCAUUACGAAAUAAUUGAAAUUAUAUUUCAUAUCAUUUAUGAGCUAAUAAACGAACUAUAUAAU